rnacentral:lncRNA from 1 species
UUUUUAUUGUAAAACACUAAAUAAAAUACUAAUUUUCCACUAUUUCUGCCUUAACUCAUUUUUCUUAAGCCAGAAUUACCUGUUGGUAUUAAAGGGGCCUUACCACUCUGGUUACAAGUGGCUGACCUCCCCCGGUGUUUCUGGAAAACCACAGAUGGUGCAAAGGAAGAAGUGGAUUCUGAGAAAUGGAGGUGAUGAAACACUAGUGACAUAGUGACUUAGAAUUGCUUCAGAGACUUCUUCUCGUCUUCUCGGUGCAAAACUAGAAUAACUUCAGUUCCUGGUCAGCCGUCAUGAGGUCAGGUCUGCUUUUAAAACUCUUUCUCGGGCUGUUUGGCGUCACACAUCCCGGACUCACCAGAGCAGUGGCCGUGUACACAGCGACUGAAGGGGAAAACAUCACAGUCAGAUGUACAGUGAGAUAUCUUGGAAGGUCACAGUUCUGUAAAAAUGACUGCACCAAAGAGGGGGACGUUCUGGUGGAGACUUCAGGGACCAGUGAGCAGAAAGGCAGAUACGGACUUCAGGUGCAUGAUCUGUCGGUGAUGCAUGUGAGCAUCGCAAACGUGGCCAAGUCUGACUCUGGAACAUACCGAUGUGUAACGAGAUGGAUAUUCCUAUUUAGACAGCUGGACUCUGUGGAGUUUACGAUUAAUGUCACAGCUCUUCGCCCUAUCGCCACAUUGAACACCUCCACAGGUCACAGUCGUCUGCUCUGGCUGUUGCUGCUGGUCCCCGUAAUGAUGACCUCUGUGCUGGUGUUCCUGACCUGCAGAAAGAGGAGGAGACGGAGCGGUGAGCCGAGACGCUCCAGAGCAGAGACUGAGCUGUCUGAGAACGUGGGCCCAGAGUCUGCAGAGGGCACUUACCAGAGCCUCUGUGUGGACACUAUGGACCACAACCAAACCUACAGCUGCAUCAGAGACACAGCAGGAACACAAACUUAA